UACGUAGGUGGCGAGCGUUGUCCGGAUUUACUGGGCGUAAAGGGAGUGUAGGCGGACUUUUAAGUGAGAUGUGAAAUACCCGGGCUCAACUUGGGUGCUGCAUUUCAAACUGGAAGUCUAGAGUGCAGGAGAGGAGAAUGGAAUUCCUAGUGCAGCGGUGAAAUGCGUAGAGAUUAGGAAGAACACCAGUGGCGAAGGCGAUUCUCUGGACUGUAACUGACGCUGAGGCUCGAAAGCGUGGGGAGCAAACAGGAUUAGAUA
rnacentral:rRNA from 1 species